AGGGAAAAGGAUGUUUUGUAAAGUUUUGGCUUGAACGUCCAGGGGCAGAACAGGAAAUGUCCACUGGGUCUGGGAGUCCCACGGAGAAAUCGCUGCAGCCUCCUAGCGCUCUGAUCUGCGGUCCCAUCUGGAAUUUAAAGCUCCUCUGUUUGAAGCCUGGUGCCUUUUCCCCCCUUUCUCUUUUCCUCCAGCACUAUUUUUUUUCCUCCUUAAUGUAACGUCAGCUUCGUUCCUCACAAGCUGGAAAAUUUUUCCUCGGCCUAAACUUGGCUCAGGAAUACUCUCCCCUUGUGAGAGAAUUUCUCCUGUUACACAGUUCAGAUUAAAAAAAAAAAAAAAAAAAAAAAAAAAGAGAGAGAGAGAGAGAUUUGUUUUGCCAGCUUUUGUACUAGAAACAUUUUUGAUGGAUCACUCCCCACCCCCACCCCCACCCCCAACCUCUGGAUUCCAAGAAAUAUACACACCCACAUCCCUCUUGGCUGUUUGUCUUGUUUGUUUUUUUCUUUUUUUGGCAUAUGGAGUUCCUGGGCCAGGGCUCAGAUGCCAGCCGCAGUUGUGACCCACAUCAUAGCUGUGGCAAUGCUGGAUCCUUUAAUCCACUGUGACUGGCUGGGGAUCGAACCCAUAUCCUGGCACUGCAGAGACACCAUCCACCCUGUUGUGCCACAGCAGGAACUCCUUGACUGUUCUAGGUCUUUCCAUGAUGGAAGCGCAGGAAUUGGCUAUCACAAAUGGGAUCCAGUUCCCACUACAAACUGCCUCCUCAGCCCCCCAGAAAUGAAGCAGGAAGAUUCCUCAUUGUGAUUCUUGGAGAUGCUGAGUUGGAGGUACAGGAGGUGCAAGGGGAUCCUGAUUCAGUUGUUGCUGAUGGCCUGUUACAGAGGAAAAGAGAAUUCGGCUGCCCUUUACAGAGGCCACCACCAGGACAAUAAACUAGGCUCUCCAUGUGGGUCAGGUGUCAUUCUCAGCCAAGACCUGCAAGCAACUUCGAUAUCCAUCAACAGAGGAAUGAAUAAAGACGACAUAGUACAGGAGUUCCCGUUGUGGUGCAGCAGAAACGAAUCUUACCAGGAACCAUGAGGCUGUGGGUUCGAUCCCUGGCCUCGCUCAAUGGGUUAAGGAUCCAGCGUUGCUGUGAGCUGUGGUGUAGGUGGCAGACAAGACUCGGAUCUGGCAUUGCAGUGACUGUGGUAUAGGCUGGCAGUGGCAGCUCUGAUUCCGCCCCUAGCCUGGGAACUUCCAAUGCCAUUGGGUGCAGCCCUAAAAAGGAAAAAAAAAAAAAAGGAUACAAUGAACUUAUUUACAAAAGAGAAACAGCUCACAGACUCAGAAAAUGAUCUUAUGGUUGCCAAAGAGGACAGGUGGGGGGAAGGGGUAAAUUACCUUCUCUGCUGUCAGUGUUGGACCAUCCCCAGGGCCCCGUGCACACUGCAUUGGAAUGAGCAAUGUCAUUGUGUCCCCCACCCCCACCACUCCAUCCACCACACUUGGACACUGGCAGCUUGCCCCUCCAAUAAAUGUUGGUUGAUUGAAUGAAUGGCAGUGGAGAUCGAUGCCGCUGUCCUGAUCAA
rnacentral:lncRNA from 1 species